rnacentral:rRNA from 1 species
UACGUAGGGCGCAAGCGUUGUCCGGAAUUAUUGGGCGUAAAGAGCUCGUAGGCGGUCUGUCGCGUCUGCCGUGAAAACCCGAGGCUUAACCUCGGGCUGGCGGUGGAUACGGGCAGACUAGAGGUAGGUAGGGGAGACUGGAAUUCCUGGUGUAGCGGUGAAAUGCGCAGAUAUCAGGAGGAACACCGAUGGCGAAGGCAGGUCUCUGGGCAUUAACUGACGCUGAGGAGCGAAAGCAUGGGGAGCGAACAGG